rnacentral:misc_RNA from 1 species
AACUGACUAACUGAGGUUUUUUUUCCUUUUCCCUAAUCCCAUCAGUCCAUUUUCCAUUGUUGAUUUUAAAAUGUAUGUUGAUUAAUUGAUUCCAAGCAUAAUAUUCAUAAAUUGGUACCAGGGUACCCACAAAAGUUAUGGCAUAGGGUGUUGGAAUUGGAAGUAAUGGCAGGCCACAGGGGACUGAUUUGAUGGUUUUGUGAGCAGAUCAUUUACUUUCAGGGGAAAAAAAAAUCAGUAAAGUCAAAUAAGUUUCACAUCAUGACUCCACUGGGGAUCGAAUCCAGAAUAUCAGGUUCCACAGACCAGCACCUUAUCCAUUGGACUAUGGAGGCUUUUAUUCACAACAAAAAUUAGUAAUAUAAUAGCGUGUAGGCGAGCAUGAGAAUGCAAAAUUUUAUAAAAUUCAACUAAAACUACUUCAAGGCCUAACAAGAUUAGUGAAGGGGGGAAAAAACAAGUAAUAUAACAGUAGAAAAGACAUUGAACAGGGCCUUACGCAGCUAAAGUGAGCAAUUUUGUCUAGAACAAAGUAUGAUGGUGAUGCAACAAAGCACAUGCCAAUGAAAAAAUCGAAAGACAGAUAUUUAUAUAAAAUAAAUAUCUGGGUGAUAGACACAGAUUGUUUCAAACACAAAGACCCUACACCAAAGAUUGCUUUUAGUACUUAUCUACCUGCAGUUUUCAUAACCUUAUUGAUCCAAAUAUAACUUCCUGAUCAAACCUAAAGCCUAGUCCAACCCAUCAACACUAAACUCAGUUUUCUUUCCAGUCAACAUCAAGUCUGAAAAGCUUAUCAAAAAAAAAAAAUAUCAAGUCUAAAAAGUGAAAUCCUUUUAAACAUUAGCAACUCCAAAAUCUAGAUUGAGCCUAAGUUCUGACUCUCGCUUAACUAGAGAUCUUGUAAUAUAUCAGGACUUUCAUAAAUGA